rnacentral:rRNA from 1 species
GGUUAAGCGACUAAGCGUACACGGUGGAUGCCUAGGCAAUCAGAGGCGAUGAAGGACGUGCUAAUCUGCGAUAAGCGUCGGUAAGGUGAUAUGAACCGUUACAACCGACGAUUUCCGAAUGGGGAAACCCAGUGCAAUUCGUUGCACUAUCGUUUGAUGAAUACAUAGUCAAACGAAGCGAACCGGGGAACUGAAACAUCUCAGUACCCCGAGGAAAAGAAAUCAACCGAGAUUCCCUAGUAGCGGCGAGCGAACGGGGAGCAGCCCAGAGUCUUAAUCAGCAUUAGCAUCAGGAGAACGGUCUGGAAAGUCCGGCAGUAAGGGUGAUAGCCCCGUAUCCGAAGGUGUUAGUGUUGUGAACUCGACGAGUAGGGCGGGACACGUGUUAUCCUGUCUGAAUAUGGGGACCAUCCUCCAAGGCUAAAUACUCCUGAUUGACCGAUAGUGAACCAGUACCGUGAGGGAAAGGCGAAAAGAACCCCGGCGAGGGAGUGAAAUAGAACCUGAAACCGUGUACGUACAAGCAGUGGGAGCCCCAUCACUCAAGUGCCUCGGCAAUUGAGUGAUGGCUUAACAACCAUCACAAUAGCAGCGCAGAAUUUGCCAACAAGAUUGGUCGAUUUUUCGCGUCGCGUGUACAUCGAAGUACACGAGCAACGGAAGUUAAAAAUCGGGCAAGAUUGGCCGCCAAGCGGGACAUUUGAGGAUGGGGUGACUGCGUACCUUUGUAUAAUGGGUCAGCGACUUAUAUUCUGUAGCAAGGUUAACCGUAUAGGGAGCCGUAGGGAAACCGAGUCUUAACUGGGCGAAUAAGUUGCAGGGUAUAGACCCGAAACCCGGUGAUUCAGCCAUGGGCAGGUUGAAGGUUGGGUAACACUAACUGGAGGACCGAACCGACUAAUGUUGAAAAAUUAGCGGAUGACUUGUGGCUGGGGUGAAAGGCCAAUCAAACCGGGAGAUAGCUGGUUCUCCCCGAAAGCUAUUUAGGUAGCGCCUCGUGAACUCAUCUUCGGGGUAGAGCACUGUUUCGACUAGGGGGUCAUCCCGACUUACCAACUCGAUGCAAACUACGAAUACCGAAGAAUGUUAUCACGGGAGACACACGGCGGGUGCUAACGUUCGUCGUGAAGAGGGAAACAACCCAGACCGCCAGCUAAGGUCCCAAAGUCAUAGUUAAGUGGGAAACGAAGUGGGAAGGCUCAGACAGCCAGGAUGUUGGCUUAGAAGCAGCCAUCAUUUAAAGAAAGCGUAAUAGCUCACUGGUCGAGUCGGCCUGCGCGGAAGAUGUAACGGGGCUAAACUAUGCACCGAAGCUGCGGCAGCGAUAUGUAAAUAUUGUUGGGUAGGGGAGCGUUCUGUAAGCCUGUGAAGGUGUGCUGUGAGGCAUGCUGGAGGUAUCAGAAGUGCGAAUGCUGACAUAAGUAACGAUAAUGCGGGUGAAAACCCGCACGCCGGAAGACCAAGGGUUCCUGUCCAACGUUAAUCGGGGCAGGGUGAGUCGACCCCUAAGGCGAGGCAGAAAUGCGUAGUCGAUGGGAAACGGGUUAAUAUUCCCGUACUGGUGAUAAUUGCGAUGGGGGACGGAGAAGGCUAGGCUAUCCGGCGACGGUUGUCCCGGUUUAAGGAUGUAGGCAGGUGAAUUAGGCAAAUCCGGUUCACUAUAUGCUGAGGUCCGACGACGAGUCACUACGGUGAUGAAGUAGCUCAUGCCCCGCUUCCAGGAAAAGCCUCUAAGCUCUAGAUUAUCAUUAAUCGUACCCCAAACCGACACAGGUGGUCAGGUAGAGAAUACUCAGGCGCUUGAGAGAACUCGGGUGAAGGAACUAGGCAAAAUGGUGCCGUAACUUCGGGAGAAGGCACGCUGGCAUUAGGUGAAGUGAUUUACCAUGGAGCUGAAGCCAGUCGCAGAUACCAGCUGGCUGCAACUGUUUAUUAAAAACACAGCACUGUGCAAACACGAAAGUGGACGUAUACGGUGUGACGCCUGCCCGGUGCUGGAAGGUUAAUUGAUGGGGUUAUCCGUAAGGAGAAGCUCUUGAUCGAAGCCCCAGUAAACGGCGGCCGUAACUAUAACGGUCCUAAGGUAGCGAAAUUCCUUGUCGGGUAAGUUCCGACCUGCACGAAUGGCGUAAUGAUGGCCAGGCUGUCUCCACCCGAGACUCAGUGAAAUUGAACUCGCUGUGAAGAUGCAGUGUACCCGCGGCAAGACGGAAAGACCCCGUGAACCUUUACUAUAGCUUGACACUGAACAUUGAGCCUUGAUGUGUAGGAUAGGUGGGAGGCUUUGAAGCGUGGACGCCAGUCUGCGUGGAGCCAACCUUGAAAUACCACCCUUUAAUGUUUGAUGUUCUAACGUUGCCCCAUUAUCUGGGGUGCGGACAGUGUCUGGUGGGUAGUUUGACUGGGGCGGUCUCCUCCCAAAGAGUAACGGAGGAGCACGAAGGUUGGCUAAGCAUGGUCGGACAUCAUGCGGUUAGUGCAAAGGCAUAAGCCAGCUUGACUGCGAGAGUGACGGCUCGAGCAGGUACGAAAGUAGGUCUUAGUGAUCCGGUGGUUCUGAAUGGAAGGGCCAUCGCUCAACGGAUAAAAGGUACUCCGGGGAUAACAGGCUGAUACCGCCCAAGAGUUCAUAUCGACGGCGGUGUUUGGCACCUCGAUGUCGGCUCAUCACAUCCUGGGGCUGAAGUAGGUCCCAAGGGUACGGCUGUUCGCCGUUUAAAGUGGUACGCGAGCUGGGUUUAGAACGUCGUGAGACAGUUCGGUCCCUAUCUGCCGUGGGCGUUGGAAGAUUGAAAGGGGCUGCUCCUAGUACGAGAGGACCGGAGUGGACGCACCACUGGUGUUCGGGUUGUCAUGCCAAUGGCAUUGCCCGGUAGCUAAGUGCGGAAGAGAUAACCGCUGAAAGCAUCUAAGCGGGAAACUUGCCUUGAGAUGAGUCUUCCCUGACUCUUUAAGGGUCCUAAAGGAACGUUUAAGACUAAGACGUUGAUAGGUUGGGUGUGUAAGCGUAGCGAUACGUUGAGCUAACCAAUACUAAUGAACCGUGAGGCUUAACCUG